GACGAAGGAUGCAAGCGUUAUCCGGAUUCAUUGGGUUUAAAGGGCGCGUAGGCGGCCUGGUAAGUCAGGGGUGAAAUCCUGGAGCUCAACUCCAGAACUGCCUUUGAUACUGGCGACCUUGAGUCCGGGAGAGGUGAGUGGAACUGCGAGUGUAGAGGUGAAAUUCGUAGAUAUUCGCAAGAACACCAGUGGCGAAGGCGGCUCGCUGGCCCGGUACUGACGCUGAGGUGCGAAAGCGUGGGGAGCAAACAGG
rnacentral:rRNA from 1 species